rnacentral:sRNA from 1 species
GCAACACGGGUCGCGAUUUGACGGUGCAA